GAGCCCGGGGAGUCGUAAUAGAAACCGGCAGAUGUCAGUUGGCUUUGUUGAGCGUCAAGGGAGUGGGAUAGCAGAGAUUCCAGCUUGCGGUGGCAGUCGGGAAUACGGACGGAAUACCGAGGGCUGUGGAUUCCUUUCCGCAGCUAUUGGAAGCGGUUGUGUGACUACGUCCGUGGGAUACUACUCAGCUGGCUGGCUUUUUCAUACUCGC